rnacentral:rRNA from 1 species
UACAGAGGUCUCAAGCGUUGUUCGGAUUCAUUGGGCGUAAAGGGCGCGUAGGUGGUGGCUUAAGCGUGCGGUGAAAGCUCGGGGCUCAACCCCGAGUCGGCCGUGCGAACUGGGCUCACUGGAGCAUAGUAGAGGCAGGUGGAAUUCCGGGUGUAGCGGUGGAAUGCGUAGAGAUCCGGAAGAACACCGGUGGCGAAGGCGGCCUGCUGGGCUAUGGCUGACACUGAGGCGCGACAGCGUGGGGAGCAAACAGG